GAGGUCGUCUUGGAGACAACUCAAGAUAUAAUUCCUAUGGCGAGUCCCAACUGGACUCCAUCGCCUCUGCAUUUCCUCGGGACCAAAAUCAUCCUUACUCAAGUCAAAAAUCUCCAUCAAAGUCUGUCCAGAGGCAGGUAUACACUGAUAUAUGACAUAUAUACGAGGUUUACAGGUCAAAGGUGGCUGGCCUAAGACAAUAUAUAACAUAUUAUAAAGCUGGGUACAAGCAUAUGAGGUUUUAUAUGCUGAUAUACAGCGUAUAUACGUGGAAAACGCAGAGAAAUACGUCUGAUAUACAUAUGGUAUACACUUCAGAAAAUGGACUCAAGGUCCAUAAUCCAAAGUCCAUAAAGAAUGGGCUGCUUUGUUGAUGGGCCAAUUAAGGGCCCAAUUCCAAUUCUUGUUUAUUUUUGUAGCUUGUAUUGUUUAUUUGUGUUAACUAACAUUUUAAUCAAUUAACCUAAACAAAUCCCCUAAAAGUGUUGUCAUUUUAUUUUAUCUUACUUUUCUUUUACUUAACUCAUAAUUUCUUCACCUAAUUUAUAUCGUCUAAAACGGUUUAAAUUGGCUCCUUCAAUUUUUUCCUUAAAACAAGUCUUUUAAAGAUUAAGUAUUUUUUUUGUUUUGUUCAUAUAAUUAAUUCUUUAUUUUAUGAAAAAAUUACCUAAUAGAACAACUUUACUUACAAAACUUCUAAAAAUCUCCCACUUUAAAAAUAUUACAAAAAUCUCAACAUUUACCACUUUUAGGUAAAGUUGAGAUACAUGCUUAAAUCCCUCAAUAUCGGCCACCUACUUUACCAAUUUUACACCGUUUUUCUUCCCAAUUCUUCGCCAAUAUUUCAGCGAUGGUUUCAACCAUUUUCUUCCUCUAUUUCAAACUUUUAAUUUAAGGUAAUUUUCCCCCUAAAAAUUAUAUUCAAUUUAUUGUAGUCUUAUUUGAACAAUAUUUCUACAAAAAUAAUUUUUUUGCACUGAUUUUUACAAACUGAUUUUCGGCUAUUUUUUUAAUAAAAUCUUUGAUUAUUGGUGUUUUUCGUCUAAAUUUUUUUCAAUUAACAUCAUGAAUAGAGAUUUGAAACCGUUUUUCAGUCUUGGAGUCUCUCAAUUAGAUAAUAGCAAACAAUAUAAAGAAGUUGUAAAUUUCAUUUCCGAUAGUUUUGACUACGAAUCUUAUGAUUUUAAUGAAAAUAAAUCAAAGCAUCGAAAGGAUCCUCAUACUAUGAAGAAAUUGCGGGAAAAGAAGGCCAAGAAGGAUAAGAAAAAAAAAGCUUUUGUUUCUAAGAAAAAUGGAUCUAACAGUGCCGAAGUCGAAGUUCCUGCUGAGAGAAGAAGAGUGCUUGAAGUUAUUUCAAGAGUUGAGCUUUCACAGGAUCCAUUCCGAGUAGAAUAUACUACCGGAUAGCACAACAAGAUAGUGGAAGUUUGGAUUGUGGUGUAUUUGUAGCUGUCUAUGCCGAGUACCUGAGCGAGGGAUUAGGCAUUUCCUCAUCGGGUAUUGAUGCUCAAUACCAUCGCAUAAGAUAUGCCACUCUUUUGUACAAGUAUAACUCUGUAAAGACGGAGAAAGGAUACUUUAGUGAGAAUGACGAUCCACCAAGGCCAAGGAGCAGCUUCACACCAAAAGAAAAAGUUUGCGCUUUGCAUAUUGAGUAGUUGUUUACUUGUUGGCUAGUUGACGGUUAUAUAGUUUGAUGAUGUUAGUACAUGUUGUUAGUGUUUUUUUUAGAUGUUUUUCAAUAUCAUGGAUUCUACCUUAUCAUCAAUAAUUGCCAUAUAGCUAUUCCAGAUUA